AUUUGAAUGUAUCCGAGGGAUUCACCAAAUCGACAAUAUGUAGAGCACGAGAUGCUGCAUAUGCAUUGUCAUGAUAAGGUAGAGGGAGGAGGUGAAUGACGAGGCGAACGCGAGAGCCGUAAUGAUCGAGGGCCUUCUUGAGAGGCGGCCAAGAGUCUCUGCUAUCGGGGCAAACCGGAUCAAAAAACGCCUCGAUGAGAAUCGUAUCCAAGUCCUGUGAGUGAUUUCCGUAUACGAAACCGUCGAAUUUUGCAGGUGGGAGACUCUGAGCAUGCGCAUUCAAAA
rnacentral:misc_RNA from 1 species